AACGAACGCUGGCGGCAUGCCUAACACAUGCAAGUCGAACGGAUUAGAGGGGCUUGCUCCUCUAGUUAGUGGCGAACGGGUGAGUAAUGCAUCGGAACGUACCGUGUAGUGGGGGAUAACCCGGCGAAAGUCGGAUUAAUACCGCAUACGAUCUAAGGAUGAAAGCGGGGGAUCGCAAGACCUCGCGCUAUACGAGCGGCCGAUGUCGGAUUAGCUAGUUGGUAGGGUAAAGGCCUACCAAGGCAACGAUCCGUAGCGGGUCUGAGAGGAUGAUCCGCCACACUGGGACUGAGACACGGCCCAGACUCCUACGGGAGGCAGCAGUGGGGAAUUUUGGGACAAUGGACGCAAGUCUGAUCCAGCCAUGCCGCGUGAGUGAAGAAGGCCUUCGGGUUGGUUAAAGGAC
rnacentral:rRNA from 1 species